CUACACCAGUGGAAGAGGAGGGGGCGGUCAAUUUACACUACCGGGUCCACUCCUCCAGUUGAAUUGUGUAAGUGAUUUUCUUUGGAACUGCACAGCUCUUGAAUUACAGGCACCCUAUUACUGAGGAGGACACUGAAGAUCUUGAGUGCUUCAGAGAGAGACUUGCCCUGAAUUAAUUCAAAGCCAUACUAUAUACAGUACCAGCACAUUGGACUGGCUGUUUGUAAAUUCAGAAACACAGUGGACUGCUGGACACUCAGGAGUUACACAAGAUGAAUGUAAUUAACACAACCUAUAAAUUGUGCUCGGGAAACUGCAAACCUGGAGGCCCAUCUUGCAGGUGAACGGUUCCAGUGCUCUAUGUUUAGACUGUGAUUGUGUGUGCGGGAAGGACCCCACAAUGGAAAACGAGCAGUGCAAAAGAGGAAGCUUGCUGGCAGCAAGCCAAACCCACAAACACAAACUUGACAUGGAUCAGCUAACAGAUUAUCCUUCAGGUUAGUAAGGUUAAUCAUUUUUCUUUAGUAGCCAUCAGUGACCAUGAGUAAAAAAAAAAAAAGUACUUUAUUGAUUA